rnacentral:rRNA from 2 species
UACGUAGGGUGCGAGCGUUGUCCGGAAUUAUUGGGCGUAAAGAGCUCGUAGGCGGCUUGUCACGUCGGAUGUGAAAGCCCGGGGCUUAACCCCGGGUCUGCAUUCGAUACGGGCAGGCUAGAGUUCGGUAGGGGAGAUCGGAAUUCCUGGUGUAGCGGUGAAAUGCGCAGAUAUCAGGAGGAACACCGGUGGCGAAGGCGGAUCUCUGGGCCGAUACUGACGCUGAGGAGCGAAAGCGUGGGGAGCGAACAGG